rnacentral:rRNA from 1 species
CCUACGGGAGGCAGCAGUGGGGAAUCUUCCGCAAUGGGCGAAAGCCUGACGGAGCAACGCCGCGUGAUCGAAUGAAGGCCUUCGGGUUGUAAAGAUCUGUUGACAGGGACGAAUAAGCAAUGCGAAUAGUUUUGUGUAUGACGGUACCUGUGUAGAAAGCUCCGGCUAACUACGGGCCAGCAGCCGCGGUAAUACGGAGGGAGCAAGCGUUGUCCGGAAUUACGGGGCGUAAAGGGCGCGUAGGUAGGCGCUUAAGUCAGGUGUGAAAACUCCGGGCUCAACCUGGAGACUGCACUUGAAACUGGGUGUCUUGAGGGCAGGAGAGGAAAGUGGAAUUCCUAGUGUAGCGGUGAAAUGCGUAGAUAUUAGGAGGAACACCAGUGGCGAAGGCGGCCUGCUGGACGACAACUGACGGUGAGGCGCGAAAGCGUGGGGAGCAAACAGGAUUAGAUACCCUUGUAGUC